UACGGGGGGGGCAAGCGUUGUUCGGAAUUACUGGGCGUAAAGGGCUCGUAGGCGGCCAACUAAGUCGGAUGUGAAAUCCCCAGGCUCAACUUGGGAACUGCAUCCGAUACUGGAUGGCUUGAAUCCGGGAGAGGGAUGCAGAAUUCCAGGUGUAGCGGUGAAAUGCGUAGAUAUCUGGAGGAGCACCGGUGGCGAAGGCGGCAUCCUGGACCGGCAUUGACGCUGAGGAGCGAAAGCCAGGGGAGCAAACGGG
rnacentral:rRNA from 1 species